rnacentral:misc_RNA from 1 species
AAAAACAUAAGAUAAUAUCUAAGCUAUUACAUAAUUUAAUAGGAACUUGACAUAGGGAAAUCCUUCAAUCAUAAGGAUCCCUCUUCUUGAACUUGGAAGAUCUAUCCAAGCUUUUCACCUACGAGACGUCCUCUUGUCAUCACCACCUACAGUUUGUGUAAAAAGAUGAAAAAGAAUAGUAUUAGUACAAGAAUUCACUACGCAUGGAAAUCAUGCAAAAACUUGCAUUUUUUAAA